rnacentral:lncRNA from 1 species
AUAUAUAUAUAUACAUAUAUGUAUAUAUUUAAAUUUGUAUAUAUAUGUAUAUGCAUACAUACAAGCAUGUAUAUACAUGUAAAUAAAUACACACACACACACAUACAUAUAUAUAAACGAAUAUAUAAAUACGUAUGCAUACAUGAAUGUGAGUAUAUAUAUAUGUAUGUAUAGGUGUGUGCAUAUAUAUAUAAGCAGACUUAUAUAUGCAUGAAUAUAAACUUUUACACAUGCAUACUUACGUGUAAGCAUGCAUACAUAUAUACAUACAUAUAUACAUAUAGACAGACAUACAUGUACAAUGUCGGACAUUUGCAUUUUGUGAAUCCAGUUUUCUCAUUAAGUUACCGAAUAAGAUAUUUGUUAAUUAUUUUUUUUGCUUUAUAAUAUUUUUUUUUAUAUAUGUUGAUUCGACGUAUUCGAAAAAUGUUGCGGAAUAAAUUACAUUUCGAUAACUUUCGCAUACAACUGUCUAUGCAAGCGUACAUGUAUUAUUCGAAUCUACAUUUGAAAACGGCACAACCAAACACCACACACACACACAUAUACAAGUACCCCUUUAUGCACACAUAACCAUGCUUAUAUGUAUAUGUGUGUGUAUGUGUGUGUGUGUGUGUGUGUGUGUGUGUGUGUAUGUGUGUUUGUGUGUGUGUGUGUAUGUGUGUAUGUCAGUGUGUGCGUGUACAUUCUGGUGUCUGUCCCUGCUGAUACAAAAUAACGACCUCAUUACUUCUAUAUGUAGUGUUACGUUUUGUUGUGUUUAUAGAAUUAUAUACAUAUACAUAUAAGCAUGAAUAUAUGUAUGUGUGUAUAUGUGCCUCUGAGUGUGUAUAUAUAUAUAUACACACACACACACACACACACACACACACACAUAUAUAUAUAUAUAUAUAGUAUAUGAACUAGAUAUGUACGGAACGGAAAGUUAUGGUUGUAUGAUACGAAGCUUACUUCGUAACCAUAUGCUUUUGGGUUCGGUCUUAUUCUGUGAUUCCUUGAGUAAGAGUCUUGUACAAUAGCCCUAGGCCCACUGAUGCCUUCUGAGUGGAUUUGGUGGACGGAAAUUAAAAGAAGUUCUUCGUGUGUGUGUGUGUGUGUGCAUGCGCGCGCGUAUAUAUAUGAAAUGUGUCUUCUGGUUUUAUCCCCACCACCGCUUGAGAGUCGGUGCCGGUUUGUUUAAAGUUCUGUAACUUAACGGUUCGGCCAAAGAUAUGAUAGAAUGAGUACCUACCAUGCUUUAAAAGCAUUAAGUUCUAGGACCCAGCAAUGGCUGCAGUCCAAUGACUGAAACGAGUAAAAGAUAAAAGAUAUAUUCUCUCACACAAAUGCACACACACACACACACACACACACACACACACACACACACGCACAAACACAUACAAGUAGAGAAUCGGAGAAGGAGAGAGAGAGAGAGAGAGAGAGAGAGUGAGAAAGGAGUGUGAGGAGAAACAAAGAAAGAAAGGAAAGAGGUGGGUGUGAUUGUAUGAAGAAAACUGUGGGUGCUACUGAUGGUUUCAUGAACAUACAGGAUAGCAAUGGAAAUGCCUGUUGUGGUUGUUCGACGUGCCUGCUAGAAAUAGCAGCCGUCAUAGUGGAACAAAACGGCUUUCAGUGUUUGUUCUGUCCCUUUACAUUCUGAGUUCAAAUCCGCCUAAUGACGUCUCUGUAUUUCAUCCUUCCUGUGUCGAAAAUACAUAAUACGCGUGAUAAGUUCUGGGUUCGAUUUUAUCGAUUGAUUAACUCAGUGAUUUUUAUAGAAAAGCUUCUGUCUGAGUAUUCUUUUCUACUUUAGGCACAAGGGCCCGAAAUUUUUGGGGAGUGGGUCAGUCGAUUAGAUCGACCCCAGUAUGCAACUGGUACUUAAUUUAUCGACCCCAGAGUAUUACAAAAGGGAUAAAAAAAAUUCCCAUUUCUAAUAAAGAUUGAUUGUUUUAAAAUAUUUUAAGCGUGGGUACAGACAUGGGUGUGUGGUUAAGAAACUCGUUUUGCAACCACGUGGUCUCGAGUUCAGUCCUACUGAGGGGCAUCUGGAGCAAGUGUCUUCUACUACACUUAUGGGCCGACCAAUGCCUUGUGAGUGAAUUUGGUUGACGGAAAUUGCGUGGAAGUCCGUCGUGUGUGUCUUUGUGUGUGUCUUCGUGUUUGUUCUUCGACACCGUUUGCAACCGGUGUUGGUUUGUUUGUGGCUCCGUGAUUUAGCGGUUCGGCCAAAAAGACCGAUAGAAUAAGAGCUAGGCAUAAAAAGUCCUUGGGGCUCGAUUAGCUGUGAGCUAGCCGAAUCGUUAGCGCCUCACUAAAAUGCUUGGUGGAAUUUAUUCUGAUAAUAUGAAUUCUGAGUUCAAAUGACCCGUAGUGAGCACCGCCUUUCAUAUACACUUACAUUCUUUCAUUAAUUUUCUUAUUUCAUUUGAUUAAGGCGGCGAGCUGGCAGAAUCGUUACCAUGCCGAACAAAAUUCUUACCGGCAUUUCGUUGUCUAUACGUGCUGAGUUCAAAUUCCGCCACGAUCUAUUUUGCCUUUCAUCUUUUUGUGAUCGAUAAAACAAGUACCAGCUGAAGACUGGGGCCGACGUAAUUGACUUAACUAUCCUUUUAAUGCAGCACCCAAGGAUGGCCGCAGUUCACUGAGGAUAACAAGUAAAAGAAAACAAUGAAAUAUACAAGUAACCAGCACUUUGCUAUUGAAAUAAGAAUCUUAAAGUCGAAAUACAUUUUGUCUUCUCAGUAAAAAGACCGAGAGAGACAGAGGUACAAACGAUUUCAUAAAUUUCUUCUUGGUUUUUCUGGGAUCUGUUAAUAUUGUCAAAAGGGCCGGACAAAAUCUUCAAGUUUCAAUUUUUGUAUUUAUGCUGGAAACAACAUCACUAUUACUAACGCACAAUUAUUAAAGAAUCGUAAAUUAUAUUUCGUUUUGGGAUUUGGUUUGCAAGAUUCUUUAUGUGGGUUCGUGUAUUGAAGCAUAUUCUAUUGUGUCUGGGGAGAGUCAUUUUCUUUUUGUGCUUUAUAAUUUAACACACUCACCGGUAAAAUUUCCACUUAUUUCUUAUUUUUAUUUUCCUAAAAUUUUCGUUGCGUCUUGCAACAAAUAUUGAAAAGACAAAACGAAAAUUUUAGGAAAAUAAAAAUAAGAAAUAAGUGGAAAUUUUACCGGUGAGUGUAUUAAAUUAUAAGACACAAAAAGAAAAUGACUGUCCUCAGACACAACAGAAUAUCGUAAAUUAGACUUCGCGGAAUGGAAUUGCGCUCAAUGCGUUCUGAUUUAUAGUCCCAGAAGACUAAGAACUUGUAUUUCAUUUUAACAAGGGUUGAGGGAACAAAUGCUAAUCAGAUAUAGGAUUGUCGUAUUCAAACGUACCUCUGUGUCCAAACUCUGGCUCUAGGCACCUAUUUCAACCCGGUGAGGUCAAAUUUCAACUUCUACACAUUCGGGGGCGGGGGGAUAAAACAAUGUAAUCAGUUAUGUAUGGAGGCAGAAAAUAGUCAACUAUUCUCCGACAACGUAAACUUUUGGCCUUGUGCCUAUGUUGGAAUCUAUUAGGAUGAAAAUUUUCCCCUUAUAUCUGCUGAAGUUACACAUCCCCCCAAUACUACUUAGACACCAGGUAGAUAACGAAUAUCAUGUUCUUUAUGUAGUGGAAGCUUAUAUGAUGUCGAGAAGCGUUAGGACUGGAUAAAGCGAAACGGAGCGUCUGUAUAUCUGAGUGCUCAAUAAAAUACAUUAAAACUGAGAUUUUAGGUGACAUCGCUCUUCGUAAAACGUAUAUAGUGCCCAUUUGGAUUUUUUUUGUAUUUCUCUUUAAGCAUGGUUUUCCUGGUUAUCACGUCUGUGAAUUUUCCUGUCCCUUUCUUUAAUACCGAGAAAGCCUUAUGAUAACAGGUAUCGUAAUGUUUUCUUUUUCACUUCAUUUUAAUCUUCCGAAAAUUGGCAUACCUACGUCUUUGUUCUUCUAUAAUUUAACGAGUUAUUUGAUUGCAGCAUUAUUGUCCAUGGGGGCAGUCAUAUCAAUUAAGAAACUAACCCUACCUCCAUUCCCAUCCAACAACCCAAACUUCAGGCCUUGCACUUACAGUAGAAAGGAUUAUUAAGGCUUGCAAAAGUAGUGGACUGGCAGAUUCUUUAAAGCAUCGGACAACACGCCUUGUGCUACUUAGUUACGGUCAUUUACAUCCGAGGUUCAAAUCUCGCUAUGGUCAACUAUGUCCCUUAACCUUUCAGAGCCGAUUAAAUAAUGUACCAGUUUGAUGGUAUCGGUGGAGGCGCGUGGCUUAGUGGUUAAGGUGUCAGCAUCAUGAUCGUAAGAUUGUUUCAAUUCCUGGACCGGGCGACGCGUUGUGUUCUUGAGCAAAAGACUUCAUUUCACGUUUCUCCAGUCCACUCAGCUGGCAAAAAUGAGUAACGCUGCGAUGGACUGGCGUCCCGUCCAGCUGGGGAGCACGUACGCCAUAGAAACCGAGAAACCGAGCCCAUGAUCCUGGCUAGGCUUUAAAAGGGCGCAUUUUUUUAAUGAUAUCGACUAAUCUCUUCACUCCAAAUUGCUAGCUUAGUGAGUAACGCUGCGAUGGACUGGCGUCCCGUCCAGCUGGGGAGCACGUACGCCAUAGAAACCGAGAAACCGAGCCCAUGAUCCUGGCUAGGCUUUAAAAGGGCGCAUUUUUUUAAUGAUAUCGACUAAUCUCUUCACUCCAAAUUGCUAGCUUAGUGCUUAAGGUGAACGAAUGGCUAAGGCGUAGAACAAAAUGCUUUGCACUAUUUGUCCUGGCUCUCUACAUUCUGAGUUCAAAAUCUGCCGGAGUCAACUUUGCUUUUCAUCUCUCUGGGAUCGAAUAAAAUAAAGUAGCAGUCAGCCCUUGAUAUCGAUGGCAUACAUUAGCUGUGUGCUGACCGAAUCGUUAGCGUCUCACUAAAAUGCUUGGUAGAAUUUAUUCCGGUAAUAUAAAUUCUGGGUUCAAAUGUCCCCGUAGUGAGCAACGCCUUUCAUAUACACUCAGAUUCUUUCA